UUAGGACAUAAAGGAAUUUCUUGCUUAAAAGCAUACUAAGAUUAGAGUGUUGAUCGAUGUUAAGCCAAGGGAUGUCACAUUUUGGGAUUAAAGACUCUAGGGUAUUAGUCUAGUGUUUUGUGAUAGAGGGAGACUCCUUCUAGUCCUUUGUGGAGAUCAAAGUCCAUAGUAGGACCUGGGAUUCCCAUGUUGUAAAUUUGGACUAUGUCUAGAAACUUAAAUGUAUAUAAUAUACUUCCAAUUAAGCUAUCUUUGGGAGUAGGAACUUUAAGACCAAGAAGUUGUUUAGGUUAUCUUGUGGUAGAUAUUUUGUUUAGCAGGCUUCGUAUUAUAAUGAUAUUUUUGUCGUAGUAAUACGGUCGGGUUACGCUCAUUUUUGGGGCGUGACAGAGUUGGUAUCAGAGCCUAGGUUUGGAAUUGAUUGUCUAUCUAAGCAUAGGUUGACUCCUUAAAAAAA